UCGGUGACAGGUGGUGGCAUGGUUGUCGGUCAGCUCGUGUCGUGAGAUGUUGGGUUAAGUCCCGCAACGAGCGCAACCCUCGACCUUAGUUGCCAGCAUUCACGUUGGGCACUCUAAGGUGACUGCCGGCUAAAAGUCCGGAGGAAGGUGGGGAUGACGUCAAAUCAUCAUGCCCCUUAUGACCUGGGCUACACACGUGCUACAAUGGGCGGUACAAAGGGUCGCGAACCCGCGAGGGGGAGCCAAUCCCAAAAAGCCGCUCUCAGUUCGGAUUGCAGGCUGGCAACUCGCCUGCAUGAAGCCGGAAUCGCUAGUAAUCGCGGAUCAGCAUGCCGCGGUCGAAUACGUUCCCGGGCCUU
rnacentral:rRNA from 1 species